AGGGAAGGAAGACCUCGGAGACUCCGGCUACCAAUCAGCUACCGUCGCCUCCCUUGACGUCCGGAACCAGCUAUCCAGAACAUCUUGAAGGAAAGGAUAUUCAGAGGACAUGGAGCGCUGGACAUCAGCAUUAUUAUCAGGAAAGUUCAUAUUCUCCUUCUCUAAAUUUGUGGUUAUAUUUUCUAUUUUGAUAUUUGCGUAAUAGUCCUGGAAUCGAUGAGAUCACUCCCAAGACUCGGGGGUAGCAAUGGUACGUUCCCUCCGACCACACUAUCAUGUAAGCAUGCUAUUGACAACAAAUUUAGAACCUUUUGUGUAUCUUUUUUCGAAUCUAUAUAUUUGUGUCUUGUUUGGAGCGUGAAGACCAGGGACAACCUCCCUGCUGCUUUGGAAUUCGUCUUCAUGUGUAAUCGAGGCACAUGUUUGACACCCUCGGGAUGCCUGGACAACCAUCUUCAUAAGAUGGUUCGAAAGAAUUCCUAUGCCCUGGUGGCCCGUACUUCCGGUAAACCAUCAGGAAGACCCUCAGGGGUGCAGCUUUGGAAAACCCUCAGGGGUUGGAGUUUUUAUUCGAAAAUAUUUUUUAUUUGUUCGUCCCCAAGUGCGGUGGAGGGCGACGACCCACCUACUUGGAUGCCUGGGAUCUAAGUGGAUGAUGUCCCUACUGUCCCAGAGGUUUAUGUUCCCCAAGUGUGGUGGAGGGCGACGACCCACCUACUUGGAUGCUUGGAAUCUAAGUGGAUGAUUUCCCUACUGUUCCAGAGGUUGUUUUUCCCCAAGUGUGGUGGAGGGAAACGACCCACCUACUUGGAUGCCUAGGAUCUAAGUGGAUGAUGUCCCUACUGUCCUAGAUGCCUGGGAUUUAAGUAGAUGAUUUCCCUACUGUCCCGGAGGUUGAUCGUCCCCAAGUGCGGUGGAGGGCGACGACUCACCUACUUAGAUGCCUAGGAUUUAAGUAGAUGAUGUCCCUACUGUCCUAGAUGCCUGGGAUUUAAGUAGAUGAUUUCCCUACUGUCCCGGAGGUUGAUCGUCCCCAAGUGCGGUAGAGGGCGACGACCCACCUACUUGGAUGCCUAGGAUUUAAGUGGAUGAUGUCCCUACUGUCCUAGAUGCCUGGGAUUUAAGUAGAUGAUUUCCCUACUGUCCCGGAGGUUGUUUGUCCCCAAGUGCGGUGGAGGGCGACGACCCACCUACUUGGAUGCCUAGGAUUUAAGUGGAU
rnacentral:lncRNA from 1 species